UCUCUCAACUUGCGUCAGUGCGCAGAAAAAACGCUGGUAGUCGAAGUAUUACUUUUUGUACUCCAAACUCUUCAUCGUAAUACACUAUGCCAGUCAGUCAAACCACAACAUUGUAUGUGGCCAGGGCCGUCAAGAGGUGAGUAAGUCUUCAUAGCAAGUAUACCUACG